UAAAUCGGUCAUAUAAGAUAA
rnacentral:piRNA from 1 species